UGGUGUUGGUGUUGGUUGCUGUCGUG
rnacentral:piRNA from 1 species